GUGUUCGCUUCGGCAGCGCAUAUACUAAACUUGGAAUGAUACAGAGAAGAUUAGCAUGGCCCCUGCACAAGGAUGACAUGCAAAUUCAUGAAGCAUUCCAUAUUUUU
ensembl:snRNA U6 U6 spliceosomal RNA